UUUAAUCUGUCCACUGGCCAUGUUGGCAGCUGAUUGGAUUGUGCUCACCCAGAUUAAGGGUGGGUCUGCCUUUCUCAGCCCACUGACUCAAAUGUUAAUCUCCUUUGGCAACACCCUCACAGACACAC